CGGGGUGUGGCGCAGUCCGGUUAGCGCGCAUGGUUUGGGACCAUGAGGUCGGAGGCUCAAAUCCUCUCACCCCGACCA
rnacentral:tRNA from 1 species